rnacentral:rRNA from 1 species
UGCAUUCGAUACUGGAAGCUAAAGUAUGGGAGAGGAUGGUAGAAUUCAGGUGUAGCGGUGAAAUGCGUAGAGAUCUGGAGGAAUACCGAUGGCGAAGGCAGCCAUCUGGCGUAAUACUGACGCUGAGGUACGAAAGCAUGGGGAGCAAACAGGAUUAGAUACCCUGGUAGUCCAUGCCGUAAACGAUGUCUACUAGCCGUUGGGGCCUUUGAGGCUUUAGUGGCGCAGCUAACGCGAUAAGUAGACCGCCUGGGGAGUACGGUCGCAAGACUAAAACUCAAAUGAAUUGACGGGGGCCCGCACAAGCGGUGGAGCAUGUGGUUUAAUUCGAUGCAACGCGAAGAACCUUACCUGGUCUUGACAUAGUAAGAACUUUCCAGAGAUGGAUUGGUGCCUUCGGGAACUUACAUACAGGUGCUGCAUGGCUGUCGUCAGCUCGUGUCGUGAGAUGUUGGGUUAAGUCCCGCAACGAGCGCAACCCUUUUCCUUAUUUGCCAGCGGGUUAAGCCGGGAACUUUAAGGAUACUGCCAGUGACAAACUGGAGGAAGGCGGGGACGACGUCAAGUCAUCAUGGCCCUUACGACCAGGGCUACACACGUGCUACAAUGGUCGGUACAAAGGGUUGCUACCUAGCGAUAGGAUGCUAAUCUCAAAAAGCCGAUCGUAGUCCGGAUUGGAGUCUGCAACUCGACUCCAUGAAGUCGGAAUCGCUAGUAAUCGUGGAUCAGAAUGCCGCGGUGAAUACGUUCCCGGGCCUUGUACACACCGCCCGUCACACCAUGGGAGUUUGUUGCACCAGAAGUAGGUAGUCUAACCGCAAGGAGGACGCUUACCACGGUGUGGCCGAUGACUGGGGUGAAGUCGUAACAAGGUAGCCGUAGGGGGACCUGCGGUUGGAACACCUCCUUUCU